rnacentral:rRNA from 1 species
UAAUACGUAGGGACCAAGCGUUGUUCGGAUUUACUGGGCGUAAAGGGCGCGUAGGCGGCAAUUCAAGUCAGCUGUGAAAUCUCCGGGCUUAACUCGGAACGGUCAGCUGAUACUGCUUUGCUAGAGUGCAGAAAGGGCAAUCGGAAUUCUUGGUGUAGCGGUGAAAUGCGUAGAUAUCAAGAGGAACACCUGAGGCGAAGGCGGGUUGCUAGGCUGACACUGACGCUGAGGCGCGAAAGCUAGGGUAGCAAACGGGAUUAGAUACCCCGGUAGUCCUAGCCCUAAACGAUGAAUACUUGGUGUCUGGAGUUUUUAUCCUCCGGGUGCCGUCGCUAACGUUUUAAGUAUUCCGCCUGGGGAGUACGCACGCAAGUGUGAAACUCAAAUGAAUUGACGG